UGGGCAACCUGCCCCUCCUCUCUGGGAUAACCCCGGGAAACCGGAGCUAAUACCGGAUACUCCGGUCGAACCGCAUGGCUCGAUCGGGAAAGCUCCGACGGUCUGGGAUGGGCCCGCGGCCUAUUCAGCUUGUUGGUGGGUAACGGCCUACCAAGGCGACGACGGGUAGCUGGUCUGAGAGGACGACCAGCCACACUGGAACUGAGAUACCGGUCCAGACUCCGUACGGGAG
rnacentral:rRNA from 1 species